UACGAAGGGGGCUAGCGUUGCUCGGAAUCACUGGGCGUAAAGCGCACGUAGGCGGAUUGUUAAGUCAGGGGUGAAAUCCUGGAGCUCAACUCCAGAACUGCCUUUGAUACUGGCGAUCUUGAGUUCGGGAGAGGUGAGUGGAACUGCGAGUGUAGAGGUGAAAUUCGUAGAUAUUCGCAAGAACACCAGUGGCGAAGGCGGCUCACUGGCCCGAUACUGACGCUGAGGUGCGAAAGCGUGGGGAGCA
rnacentral:rRNA from 1 species